UCUGAGCUUGUCCAUGUUGGCCGUGGACAGGCGGCUGCACUGGUCUCUGAUAACCUCGUGCCGAUCGCACGUCCCUGUGACGGUGACGGAUGUCUGCGCUAUCAACUUUCAAAGCAAUUUUCCGCACCUACCAUGGUGACCACGUAUAACAGGGAAUCAGGGUUCGACUCCAGAGGGGGAGCCUGAGAAACGGCUACCACAUGCAAGGAAGGCAGCAGGCGCGCAAAUUACCCACUCCUGACGCGGAGAGGUAGUGACGA